rnacentral:rRNA from 1 species
CCCUUAGAUGUUCUGGGCCGCACGCGCGCUGCACUGAUGCAUUCAACGAGUCCAACCUUGACCGAGAGGUCCGGGUAAUCUUUGAAACUGCAUCGUGAUGGGGCUAGAUUAUUGCAAUUAUUAAUCUUCAACGAGGAAUGCCUAGUAAGCGUGAUUCAUCAAAUCGCGUUGAUUACGUCCCUGCCCUUUGUACACACCGCCCGUCGCUCCUACCGAUUGAGUGUGUUGGUGAGGAGUUUGGAUUGGCCUCGGAAGGUGGUUCGCCACCGUCCGUAGCUGAGAAGUUCUCCAAACCGCCCCACUUAGAGGAAGGAGAAGUCGUAACA